UAUAGACGCGUCAUGGGAUGUAGAGCUAAUGGCUAGGAACCGAUUUUGAUAAGAAUAUCUAUAUACUUACUGGUAUUAUAAAAUGCUGAAGACAGAAUGAUUCCAGCAUUUGUGAAGAAACUGUCACAACGAAUUACCGGCAGCCAGCCAGACACAACUGAUAUUCCACCAUUAUCUAAAAGAGAUACUUUACAAUUAUCUGACGAGACCGGGGAAACUUCAAGCAUGGCCAGAACCAAAAAGAGCAAACAAUCUUUGAUGUCAAAACAAUCAACAUUUGUUUUGUCAAAAUCCAGUUCAGAAUCUUCAACAUCAAGCAAGAAUGGCAACUUGAUCACUACUGAAUCAAGUGGCUCAUCAGUUGGCUCAUUGACGAAACGAACAUCAGGUGGUUCUGUGAUCAAACGGACAUCAUUGACCAAACGAAUGUCAAGUGGCUCAUUGACCAAACGGACAUCAGGUGGCUCAUUGACCAAACAGACAUCAGGUGGCUCAGUGAACAAAUGGAUACCAGGACUU